CGCUCCUGGUCUUAAUUGGCCGGGUC
rnacentral:siRNA from 1 species